rnacentral:lncRNA from 1 species
ACACAACCACACCACACUCACACACACAUACACACUCACAUACAGACACAACCACACCACACUCACACACACACAUACACACUCACAUACAGACACAACCACACCACACUCACACACACACAUACACACUCACAUACAGACACAACCACACCACACACACACAUACAGACACAACCACACCACACACACACACACAUACACACUCACAUACAGACACAACCACACCACACACACACACACAUACACACUCACAUACAGACACAACCACACCACACUCACACACACAUACACACUCACAUACAGACACAACCACACCACACUCACACACACACAUACACACUCACAUACAGACACAACCACACCACACACACACACACAUACAGACACAACCACACCACACACACACACACACACACACACACUCACAUACAGACACAACCACACCACACACACACAUGAAAAGGGUCUGUUGGAGUGUGGCAUAUUACCCAGUCAAAAUAUUUUAUAACAAGUAUAGCUCAGGUAUCAUCUAGUCAUGAAGGAUGCACACAAAGAGCGCUGGGCAGGGCACCAGUGCCCCCGACAACCCAUGCUUGGAAUUAACCCUUAGGUCACCAGAUGAUAGGAAUAUCAGGAGUGGGCCAGGGUUGGAGGGGGGCAUGGGGUCUUAGGCCACUGCUGUGAGCCAACUGUCCUAAAGUAUUUCUUUUUCUUUUUUUUGAGACGGAAUCUCACUCUGUUGCCCAGGCUGGAGUGCAGUGGUGCGAUCUCUGCUUACUGUAACCUCCGCCUCCUGCCUCAGCCUCCUGACUAGCUGGGAUUACAGGCAUGCACCACCACACCCAGCUAAUUUUUGUAGUUUUAUUAGAGACGGGGUUUCGUCAUGCCUCCCUUAACUAUCCUCCACCUUAUCCAGAGAAGCUUCUUCUUUUAGAAAAUCAAGCAAAGCAACUAAGUCAAGACAUGUUAAAAAAAAAAAAAGUAUGAAAAGAAAGCUGUAAGGAAAUACAAGGGGAGGGAUUGUUAGAUAUGAGUUCUAAAUUUCUUUUCAAAGAAUUAAUAUGUCAGUAUGUUCAAUUCUUUGCCUUCUAUUUUUAAACUUCACUUCCUCGUAAAGCAACCUUUUCAAUUACCUAUUCCACCCUGACUCAUUCCGAUCACCUGCUCCACCCUAAUUUAUUCCAAUCACCUGCUACCUGCUCUGCCCUGACUCCCACCAAAGCACUCACCCUGUCAGUCUCUUUAAAUUAGUCAAUCAGAAUUAGUUUAGCCUGUGCGGUCUAACCCUAGCCAAUAGGGGAACGACACAGCAGCAGGGGCCACGUGCAUCAGGGAUAAGAACCCCUUCCCCUCCCUUGUCCAAAUGUGUGCUCACCAUUGUUCCAUCUAUAAGGGCGCACGCUUCUAUAUAGAAGUAACUUGCCUUGCUGAGAAUUAAAAAGAAAAUUAAAAAAAAAAAAGAAAUUUGUUGCUUGUCAAGCUACUGUCCUUGCAGGAGGCAUGGAAGAAACACUUAUUUCUGGGUCCACCUGUUUUUGACCUCGGGGUCUCUGUCCCAGGUGCCCACACCCCAACUCCAGCCCCAGCCCCCUGCAGUAGUGAGAACAC